rnacentral:rRNA from 1 species
GUAGUUAGCCGGGGCUUUCUUACAGGGUACCGUCACUUCUUCGUCCCCUGCGACAGAGGUUUACAAUCCGAAAACCUUCUUCCCUCACGCGGCGUUGCUGGGUCAGGCUUGCGCCCAUUGCCCAAUAUUCCCCACUGCUGCCUCCCGUAGGAGUCUGGACCGUGUCUCAGUUCCAGUGUGGCCGAUCAGCCUCUCAGCUCGGCUACCCAUCGUCGGCUUGGUGGGCUGUUAUCUCACCAACUACCUAAUGGGACGCGAACCCCUCUAAAAGCGAUAAAUCUUUGACCUCUUCCCGAUGCCGGGUUGUGGUCUUAUGCGGUAUUAGCAGUUGUUUCCACCUGUUAUUCCCCACUCUUAGGCAGGUUGUUCACGCGUUACUCACCCGUGCGCCACUAGAAUUAUCAAUUCCAUCCGAAAACUUCCUUAAUAAUCCCCGUUCGACUUGCAUGUGUUAGGCACGCCGCCAGCGUGUCCUCGAGCCACUAAUACAAACUACUGA